UCCCUUAUAGCUCAGUUGGUAAAGAAUCUGCCUGCAAUGCAGAAGGCCUGGGUUCAAUUCCUGGGUCAGGAA
rnacentral:tRNA from 1 species